rnacentral:rRNA from 1 species
CACGAACGCUGGCGGCGUGCCUAAUACAUGCAAGUCGAGCGGAUGACGGAGGAGCUUGCUCCUCCCGAUUCAGCGGCGGACGGGUGAGUAACACGUGGGCAACCUGCCCUGUAGAUUGGGAUAACUCCGGGAAACCGGGGCUAAUACCGAAUAAUCCUUCGGACCUCAUGGUCCGAUGUUGAAAGACGGUUUCGGCUGUCACUACAGGAUGGGCCCGCGGCGCAUUAGCUAGUUGGUGAGGUAACGGCUCACCAAGGCCACGAUGAGUAGCCGACCUGAGAGGGUGAUCGGCCACACUGGGACUGAGACACGGCCAGACUCCUACGGGAGGCAGCAGUAGGGAAUCUACCACAAUGGACGAAAGUCUGAUGGAGCAACGCCGCGUGAGUGAAGAAGGUUCUCGGAUCGUAAAACUCUGUUGUGAGGGAAGAACAAGUACCGGAGUAACUGCCGGUGCCUUGACGGUACCUCAUUAGAAAGCCACGGCUAACUACGUGCCAGCCGCCGCUGUAA